GAAACAUGAAAGAUAAAAGAUGAAAUAAAAGACUGUCUAGUCUAUACACACAGGCGAUCCAUGCAAUUUCCCCGGCGUCACUUUCUGUUGUACAAGAGAGAGGGUCCAUGUCUCAGUGUCUGUCCAACACGGGUACUCGAGGCACACCGAAGAGUCUAACUGUCUUAGGUAACAUAUUCAUAAUCGUAUUAUGUAUAUCCGAUAAUGGGUUUUUCUAGGGUGUACUCAUAUAACCUUCCAUUUAUUGUUAUUUUAAUGGGAAUAUAUAAGAGAUUUUAUUUUUUGAUUUAGCUAAUUUGUAAAAAUAUAUUGUAUUUUAAACUUUUUCAUAAGUAACUUAAGGUAAAGAAAUUUUUUUUGGACCAUUCCUCGAUUUGUGCGUGUCAUCCUUGCGCUGGGGCCGUGCUAAUCUUCUCUGCAUCGUUCCAAUUUUAUUGGAUGUCCCCAAGGGGACAUUGUAGAUUGUGGUGGAAGAGGUAUAUAAAUGCUAUAUUGUCUAUGCCCGUAACAGUGUGGGAGUUUGUGUCUAGUAUACUGACCGAAACUUAGAUGAACGUGAACCUAGGAAUCUAUUUAACCCUCGAAGCAGCCUUCUAGUCAUUAACCAUGACCGUGAACUGUGAAGCAGAGGGUAAACAAUCUGGAGCGGUUUCCUUCAAGGUAGUGCGAAAUCAGGACUAUGUUACUGCUUGGAACUCAAACAGUGUAGAGUUUACAAGCAAGAUGCCAGGACUGUGCAAAAAAUUAAUUUCCCAUGGAUUUACAUGAAAAGUUUCUCUAGUCGUUCACACAACUACAGAAGUGGAGGAAGAUGGUAUCACUUUUUAAAAGUAUAAUCUCCCCCAACCUCUUAGGUUUUGGAGUUGAGACGGGACAUUCAAGCUGAGAUGGGAAUUAGCAUUCGGUUGGUCCUGACAUUCAAAGUUUGUUUCUUACAUCCAUUCAGUACAGGCUCCACCACUUGGGUAGACCUUAGGAAGGCACCCUUACAAAGUGCAAUGGAAGUUGCUUCUCUAGGCCAUGGGACACAAUGAUCACCCAUUGACCCCAUCCAGUUUUCCGGCCCAGUGAGUGGAGUUGCUUUUUUCUUACUCCGUCAAUGUGGGAAGCUUUGAGAGCAAAUCACCUAAUAAUACUAUAUUAUAUUUUUGAGUGGAAUUGCUUUGCUUUGGAUGACAGGCGCGAGUAAAGUUGGAACAGCAUCGCUCCUCAAAAACAUACACUCUCCAUCGGGCUUAUAGUUUUCGGAGUUGAGACGGAAAAAAGUUGAGAUGGCAGCUGUGAUGGUCUGUGUUUUUUCCGCAAAAGAGGCAUCACUUUCCAGAAGGCCAACCUUUCAAAUUUUGGAAUUGAGACAGGACCUACAAGUUGAGAUGGGAAUCAGCAUUCGAUUGGUCCUGACAUUCAAAGUUUGUUUCGUACGUCCAUAUCAGGUAUCACUUUUUAAAAGUAUAAUCUUUUCAAACCUUUUUAACUUUUGGAGUUGAGACGGGACAUUCAAGCUGAGAUGGGAAUUAGCAUUCGAAUGAUCCUGAUAUUCAAAGUUUGUUUCGUACGUCCAUUCAAAUCAGUUUCCGGCCCGGUGAGUGGAGUUGCUUUGCCUUGGAUGACAGGCGCGAGAAAAGUUGGAACGGUGUAAACUCUUUACAUGCAGCGUCGCUCCUCAAAAACAUAUGCUCUCCAUCGAGCUUCUAGUUUUCGGAGUUGAGACUGGGGAAAGUUGAGAUGGGAGCUGUGUUGGUCGGUGUUUUUUCCGCAAAAGAGGUAUCACUUUUUAAAAGUAUAAUCUCUUCAAACCUUUUUAACAAUUGGAGUUGAGACGGGACAUUCAAGCUGAGAUGGGAAUUAGCAUUCGAUUGGUCCUGAUAUUCAAAGUUUGUUUCGUACGUCCAUUCAUAUCAGUUUCCGGCCCGGUGAGUGGAGUUGCUUUGCCUUGGAUGACAGGCGCGAGAAAAGUUGGAACGGUGUAAACUCUUUACAUGCAGCGUCGCUUCUCAAAAACAUAUGCUCUCCAUCGAGCUUCUAGUUUUCGGAGUUGAGACUAGGAAAGUUGAGAUGGGAGCUGUGUUGGUCGGUGUUUUUUCCGCAAAAGAGGUACGAAGAUCAGUUCCCCACUGUAUAUUAUUAUGAGAGUUAAAUGCUUUAUGUAACCCUUUAAGUUGUGUCAUUCUAAGAGAUGUUCAGUCAACAAACCAACAAAGUUUUGUCAUUCUUUCACUUAGCCAUCAAAUAAUAUUUUUGUAGAAAACAACUUGACAAUACCAUGUGUAUAUUU